GGCAUAGCGCAGUUUGGUAGCGCACCUGCCUUGGGAGCAGGGGGUCGCAGGUUCGAAUCCUGCUGC
rnacentral:tRNA from 1 species